rnacentral:rRNA from 1 species
UACGAAGGGUGCUAGCGUUGUUCGGAUUUACUGGGCGUAAAGCGUGCGUAGGUGGCUUUACAAGUCAGGGGUGAAAUCCUGGGGCUCAACCCCAGAAUUGCCUUUGAAACUGUAGAGCUAGAGUAUCGGAGGGGAUAGCGGAAUUGCUAAUGUAGAGGUGAAAUUCGUAGAUAUUAGCAGGAACACCGGUGGCGAAGGCGGCUCACUGGCUCGUAACUGACGCUCAUGCACGACAGCGUGGGGAUCAAACAGG